CGGACGGGUGAGUAACACGUUGGUACCUACCCGAAGUGGGAAUAACUGCCGAAAGGGUGGCUAAUACCGCAUAGUCUCGUGCUUGUCACGAGUAAAGCAGUAAUGCGCUUCGGGAGGGGCCUGCGUCUGAUUAGCUAGUUGGUAGUGUAAUGGACUACCAAGGCGACGAUCAGUAGCUGGUUCGAGAGGAUGACCAGCCACACUGGGACUGAGAUACGGCCCAG
rnacentral:rRNA from 1 species